rnacentral:rRNA from 1 species
GAUGAACGCUGGCGGCGUGCUUAACACAUGCAAGUCGAACGAUGAUCCCCCGCUUGCGGUGGUGAUUUGUUGCCAACGGGUGAGUAAUACGUGAGUAACCUGCCCUUCACUCUGGGUUAAGCCUGUUAAACCGGGUCUAAUACUGGAUACUACUUCCUGUCGCCUGGUGGGGGGUGGAGUGGGAUUUGCUCGUUGUGUAUGGGCUCACGGCCUAACGGCUUGUUGGUGUAGUAAUGGCUAGCCAAGGCGACGACGGGUAGCCGGCCUGAGAGAGUGAGCGGCCGCACUGAGACUGAGACACGGCCCAGACACCUACGGGAGGGAGCAGGGGGGAAUAUUGAACAAUGGGCGCAAGCCUGAUGCAGCGACGCCGCGGGACGGAAGACGGCGUUAGGGUUGUAAACCUUAUGCAGCAGGGAAGAAGCCAAAAGUGACGGUACCUGAAGAAGAAGCGCCGGCUAACUACGUG